GUGCUUGUUUCAGCAGCACAUAAAUUAUCAUUGGAAUUCUACAAAUAAGAUUAGUAUGGCCCCUGUACAAGGGUGACACACAAACUUGUGAAGCUUGGAAUGGGACUUUU